CCCAGACUCCUACGGGAGGCAGCAGUGGGGGAUAUUGCACAAUGGGGGGAACCCUGAUGCAGCGACGCCGCGUGGGUGAAGGAGCGUUUCGGCGCGUAAAGCCCUAUCGGCAGGGAAGAAGGAGGACGGUACCUGACUAAGAAGCCCCGGCUAACUACGUGCCAGCAGCCGCGGUAAUACGUAGGGGGCAAGCGUUAUCCGGAUUUACUGGGUGUAAAGGGGGCGCAGACGGCAGCGCAAGCCAGGAGUGAAAGCCCGGGGCCCAACCCCGGGACUGCUCUUGGAACUGCGCGGCUGGAGUGCAGGAGGGGCAGGCGGAAUCCCUGGUGUAGCGGUGAAAUGCGUAGAUAUCAGGAGGAACACCGGUGGCGAAGGCGGCCUGCUGGACUGCGACUGACGUUGAGGCCCGAAAGCGUGGGGAGCAAACAGGAUUAGAUACCCGAGUA
rnacentral:rRNA from 1 species